rnacentral:rRNA from 1 species
UACGGGGGGGGUAAGCGUUGUUCGGAAUUACUGGGCGUAAAGGGCUCGUAGGCGGCCAACUAAGUCGGACGUGAAAUCCCUCAGCUUAACUGGGGAACUGCGUCCGAUACUGGAUGGCUUGGAUUUGGGAGAGGGAUGCGGAAUUCCAGGUGUAGCGGUGAAAUGCGUAGAUAUCUGGAGGAACACCGGUGGCGAAGGCGGCAUCCUGGACCGGCAUUGACGCUGAGGCGCGAAAGCUAGGGGAGCAAACGGG